CCUCACUGCUAUCGGGGUGAGAUUUAGCCAUGCAAGUCAUGCGCCUCCAAGCUAUGAUGGGGGUGCGGCAUACGGCUCCGUAACACGUGGCCAACCUACCCUUGGGACGAGGAUAACCCCGGGAAACUGGGGCUAAUAAUCGAUAGGUAGGAGUGCCUGGAAUGGUCUCCUACUGAAAAGACGUCGAGAUCAUGCUUCUCGACUUUGCCCAUGGAUGGGGCUGCGGCCGAUCAGGUUGUUGGUAGGGUAAUGGCCUACCAAGCCUAUAGCCGGUACGGGCCCUGAGAGGGGGUGCCCGGAGAUGGGAACUGAGACAAGGUCCCAAGCCCUAAGGGGCGCAGCAGGCGCGAAACCUCCACAAUACGCGAAAGCGUGAUGGGGUUACCCCGAGUGCCGUCCGAAGAGGAUGGCUUUUCCUCGGUGUAAAGAGCCGAGGGUAAUAAGAGGGGGGCAAGACUGGUGUCAGCCGCCGCGGUAAUACCAGCUCCUCGAGUGGUGAGGACGAUUACUGGGCCUAAAGCGUUCGUAGCCUGCUUGGUGAGUCCUUCGUGAAAUCCGUCGACUUAAUCGUCGGGAGUGCGAAGGAGACCGCCAAGCUAGGGGGCGGGAGAAGUCGACGGUAUUCCCGGGGUAGGGGUGAAAUCCUAUAAUCCCGGGAGGACCACCAGUGGCGAAGGCGGUCGACUAGAACGUGCCCGACGGUGAUGGGCGAAAGCUGGGGGAGCGAACCGGAUUAGAUACCCGGGUAGUCCCAGCCGUAAACGAUGCAGGCUAGGUGUUGGGGCAGCUACGUGCUGCCCCAGUGCCGCAGGGAAGCUCUUAAGCCUGCCGCCUGGGAAGUACGGCCGCAAGGCUGAAACUUAAAGGAAUUGGCGGGGGAGCACCACAAGGGGUGAAGGCUGCGGUUUAAUUGGAGUCAACGCCGGGAAACUUACCGGGACUGACAGCAGGAUGAAGGCCAGACUGAAGAUCUUGCCAGACAAGCUGAGAGGUGGCGCAUGGCCGUCGCCAGUUCGUGCCGUGAGGUGUCCUCUUAAGUGAGGCAACGAACGAGACCCCCACUGCUAGUUGCCAGCGAAUCCCAUUGGGAUGUCGGGUACACUAGCGGGACUGCCGCCGACAAGGCGGAGGAGGGAGGGGGCCACGGCAGGUCAGUAUGCCCCGAAUGCCCCGGGCCGCACGCGGCCUGCAAUGGUAGGGACAGAGGGUCGCAACCCCGAGAGGGGAAGCCAAUCCCUAAACCCUACCUCAGUUGGGAUUGAGGGCUGAAACUCGCCCUCAUGAACAUGGAAUCCCUAGUAACCGCACGUCAUCAUCGUGCGGUGAAUACGUCCCCGCUCCUUGCACACACCGCCCGUCGCUCCACCCAAGCUGGGUUUAGAUGAGGCGUAGUCAAGUUGGCUGUGUCGAAUCUGAGUUCGGUGAGGAGGGAG
rnacentral:rRNA from 1 species